CGUUUUAUAAGGGCUGGGAUGAAACCUUGGGCACCGUUUAUAUGAUAUGGAGUGAAUCGUGUUAUCACAGAGUUCUGCUGCACUUGGAAUAGAGGAAAAAAAAAGAUAUGCUGAUGCAAUCAACCUCCAUGGGGAAUGAUCAACACUAAAAACAGAAAGCUGAGACAAGUGGACCCCUCACUUAGGAAUAUCAGGACACAUCUGGACCUAGGAACUCCAGACUUCUGUGGUCCGUGUGUGGACCCAGUGAGAAAGCGACCGUCUGUGAAGAAGACAGAGAGCCCUCAACAAACUGAGUCAUCUGGCACCUUGACCUUGGGAUUCUAGCAUCCAGAAUGGUGAGAAAGACUUUCUGUUGCUUAAGCCACCCGAUGAGUGGUGUUGCAUUAUGGCAGACAAAUGACACACUCUAU
rnacentral:lncRNA from 1 species